rnacentral:tRNA from 1 species
GCCUGAGUGGCUCAGCGGUUGAGCAUCUGCCUUUGGCUCAGGGCGUGAUCCUGGAGUUCCAGGAUCGAGUCCUGCAUCAGGCU